rnacentral:rRNA from 1 species
CUGGGAACUGCCUUCGAUACUGGCAAUCUAGAGUAUGGUAGAGGGAAGUGGAAUUCCAGGUGUAGCGGUGAAAUGCGUAGAGAUCUGGAGGAACACCAGUGGCGAAGGCGGCUUUCUGGCCCAAUACUGACGCUGAGGCGCGAAAGCGUGGGGAGCAAACAGGAUUAGAUACCCUGGUAGUCCACGCCGUAAACGAUGAGUACUAGGUGUUGGGGGAUUCGAUCCUCUGUGUCGUAGCUAACGCGUUAAGUAUCCCGCCUGGGAACUACGGCCGCAAGGUUAAAACUCAAAGGAAUUGACGG